rnacentral:misc_RNA from 1 species
UGCCGUCAAUUCAUUUGAGUUUUAGCCUUGCGGCCGUACUCCCCAGGCGGGGUACUUAAAGCGUUAGCUACGGCACGGAACCCGUGGAAUGGACCCACACCUAGUACCCACCGUUUACAGCGUGGACUACCAGGGUAUCUAAGCCUGUUCGCUCCCCACGCUUUCGCUCCUCAGCGUCAGGAAAGGCCCAGAGAACCGCCUUCGCCACUGGUGUUCCUCCUGAUAUCUGCGCAUUCCACCGCUCCACCAGGAAUUCCAUUCUCCCCUACCUUCCUCAAGUCAACCCGUAUCGAAAGCACGCUCAGGGUUAAGCCCCAAGAUUACACUUCCGACGCGAUCAACCACCUACGAGCCCUUUACGCCCAAUAAAUCCGGACAACGCUCGCACCCUACGUAUUAC